CCAUUUGCAUCACCCCGGCCUUGCCCCUAUAUACGUCCUGCCGGCAACGGCUAUGGCGAUAAAUGGCUAUCGUAAUAAACCCAUCGGACCCGGGGGCAGUACCCGGCGCCUCCACCAUCUCCCCUCCCCACGGGGGGAGCCACUGGGGGCGAAACAGGAUCGACGAGGGCGUAAAGGGUGUGUUUUCGCUCGGCAUGAUACCGCCGUUAUCGGGUCAAACCUAUAGUUGCGAAUGACAACUAUGCUCCGGUCGCUCUCGCCGCGUAAGCGGUGCGAGUCCGGGAAUUGAAGCCCUCCUGCUUUAGCAGGUAGGAGGCGGGGUCCGCAGGCACCUGGCAACAGAAGCCUGCACU
rnacentral:tmRNA from 1 species